rnacentral:tRNA from 1 species
CUUUAGCGCAGUAGGCAGCGUGUCAGUCUUGUAAACUGAAGGUCCUGAGUUUGAUCCUUGAAAG